rnacentral:rRNA from 1 species
UACGAAGGGGACUAGCGUUGUUCGGAAUCACUGGGCGUAAAGCGCACGUAGGCGGAUGUGUCAGUCAGGGGUGAAAUCCCGGGGCUCAACCUCGGAACUGCCUUUGAUACAGCACGUCUCGAGUCCGGAAGAGGUGGGUGGAAUUCCUGGUGUAGCGGUGAAAUGCGCAGAUAUCAGGAGGAACACCAAUGGCGAAGGCAGCUCGCUGGAACGGUACUGACGCUGAGGCGCGAAAGCGUGGGGAGCGAACAGG